GAUCUUUGUGUUCAUGAUCUUUUUUAAUUCAUGCUUUAUUACUAAGCUAGAAUAAUUGACAUGGAUCCUUUGUCCUUGAUAAUUUUAUUGUAUUCUUUGUUUUCUUUUGUGAUUAGUAAUGGUUACAGUGCCCCAUUCUGAUUGUGGGGUUUGUUGCUCUGAUUAUCAGAUAUCUAAGCGAGUUAUUGGGAGAACGUAACAAGCUUAGUCCCUUCAUGGCUGUGCUUCCCCACUGCUAUCGAUUGUUAAACCAAGCUUCAGAGUUCAAACAUGGUAUUAGAGAUCCUGAUUUGCGAGUCUCUAUUUCUGCUUCAUUGGACUUCAUUGCUGAUUUGUUUGGAGAACCCAGCUCUUGUAGUGGGCCAACCCUGGUCGUCAACAUAACUUCCUUUCUCCAUUUGCACACCUUCAUUGUCUGUCCUGUCCUUUCUGUGGAUCUGGAAAAAUAAGCCAUGCCACCCUGAAACUGCCCAAGAAAAUGUAGGGCUUUAAGUUUUGGGUGUAGCCUGCAAAACCCAGUAAAAGCCUGAAAAACCAUCUUUUAUAGGGUUUGAGCUUAAUUUUUUAAAUGCCACAACUGAUUACAGGCUUUUUAAUUGCCCAGAUUCAAUUUGAACCUCUAAAAUAUCUCCAGAACUUGUCCUCAUACUGCAUAACCUCCAGACCGGUCACCCCCUGCCUGAAGCCCUGUUGCUGGAGAUCUCUGCCUUCUUAUGCCUCCUCCCCUGCUGGGGUAUGAACUUCACAUACCAUCUUCCCAGACACCAUUCAACAUUGUGCGUAUCCCAUUUUAUUUGUCGGCAUCCCUCUUUGUUUUGGUGGGUCAUAGCCUGAGCUUCAUGCCUGCACCUUUUGUGGUGGUUCCUUAUUAAAUGCAAAGUCUCUCUCAUGCACAAACCCUAAGCCUUUGUUUGGAAAUUGAGAGGGAAGAAAAUAGAGAGAAGAGAAAAGAAAGAGCUUAGUAGGAUGUGGUGGUGAGGAAGAUUUGGAGGCGGCAGAGACAAAGGAAGGUGAGCUGGCAGAUUCCAUGAAUGGUGCCUGUGAUUGUGGUGGAUGAUUGUUAUGGCAUUUGAGCAUGACUGUGAUGAGAGGUUGAGACCUAUGGGCUGAUGUGAAACUUUUGAAGAAGCAGAAACUCAAAAGAAACAGAGAGAUCAUGACAGUGACUGCAAACAUUUCUGGUGCCCAGUUUGGUUUUGGCUUAAGCAUCUCAGAUGCCAUCCUUUUUCGCUUUGAUAUCAAUGAUUUGGUCUUUAUUCUCCAAUGAGUUGUUGAGUCCUUUCAUUUUGAUCUUUGUCACCCAAUUUGUUAAAAGCACCAUCAUGUCACUUUCCUCUCCAGUUCUAAUAAAUAGUGAUACCCUUUUUUGAUCUUAUUCAGCCUGGUGUUUUGUGUCCAGCUACUAUUUCUAGUUAUAAAUGGUCAGUUUCUUUCAUUGAAGACUGUAUUUGUGUAACUAAGCUUUUCUUGCUGAAAGAUAAAUCGGAAGUAUAUCAAUUGUUUGUCCAGUUUUACCUUAUGGUUUAGGCGCAGUAUGGGAAGCCACUCAAGUGUUUAUGAUCAGUUGAAGUCUAAAG